rnacentral:misc_RNA from 1 species
GGGUGAAUGUCAUGUUGAAAGCAUGUAAGCUUCCUUCUUUGUUCCGACGACCCAUUUUCUUAAUUCAAGGUCAAAUUACUUGUGGAUUAUAAUUGUUAAUUGACCAACAUCCUCUAUUUCUAUUUCAUGAUUUGAAAGCUCGCUUAGCACAAGUUAACAUUGCCUUAAUAAUUUGAAAGAAUCUGGUGUUUUUAUGAGCCAGUGCGACCAGUGAUUGAUAUAGUGUAAGGGUAUAAUGCUCCUGUUGUUAGAUAUCAUCUUUUUUAGGUUGGGGUCCGGGGGAGGGGGUUAUCAAUUUGCAUUUAUGAUCAGAAUUUCCAUUUAUUUUUUUUUUCAGUUGAAAGAAAAUACUAAAUUUUGGAUUUUCUAGCAAUUAAUUUUGGAAUUCUAAGACUUGUCCAUUCUUGGACAAUAGAUUACUCAAAGCGCAAGAUCUUGC